rnacentral:misc_RNA from 1 species
AAGAGCGAGAUGUUUGGUGUGACGGGGAUUAGAACCCGCGACUCGUAGAUUGCGAGUCGAGCGCCCUAACCACCUUGCCAUGCCGUAAUGAAACAACCAGCUUUAAUAAAGAUUCAUUCAACAGUAGCGCCACAAGUGCCCGAUCAGAGUUGGGAGCCAGAAUAGUCUGGGAAAAACCACGAGAGUCUAUUAAGUAU